rnacentral:rRNA from 1 species
UACGUAGGGUCCGAGCGUUGUCCGGAAUUAUUUGGCGUAAAGGGCUCGUAGGCGGUUUGUCGCGUCGGGAGUGAAAACCCAGGGCUUAACCCUGGGCUGGCUUCCGAUACGGGCAGACUGGAGGUAUGCAGGGGAGAACGGAAUUCCUGGUGUAGCGGUGAAAUGCGCAGAUAUCAGGAGGAACACCGGUGGCGAAGGCGGUUCUCUGGGCAUUACCUGACGCUGAGGAGCGAAAGUGUGGGGAGCGAACAGG